GACGAACGCUGGCGGCGUGCUUAACACAUGCAAGUCGAACGGAAAGGCCCUGCUUUUGUGGGGUGCUCGAGUGGCGAACGGGUGAGUAACACGUGAGUAACCUGCCCUUGACUUUGGGAUAACUCCAGGAAACUGGGGCUAAUACCGGAUAGGAGCUCCUGCUGCAUGGUGGGGGUUGGAAAGUUUCGGCGGUUGGGGAUGGACUCGCGGCUUAUCAGCUUGUUGGUGGGGUAGGGGCUUACCAAGGCUUUGACGGGUAGCCGGCCUGAGAGGGUGACCGGCCACCUUGGGACUGAGAUACGGCCCAGACUCCUUCGGGAGGCAGCAGUGGGAAGUAUUGCGCAAUGGGCGGAAGCCUGAUGCAGAAACGCCGCGUGCGGGAUGACGGCCUUCGGGUUGUAAACCGCUUUCGCCUGUGACGAAGCGUGAGUGACGGUAAUGGGUAAAGAAGCACCGGCUAACUACGUG
rnacentral:rRNA from 1 species